GUCGGUUUGAAGAACAGACAAAAUACAAAGUAGUUUACUAAAGCAGUUCUCAUUUCAGGUGUUGUAUAUUUAUCCCUUCUUUGAGUCUCUCCACUAAGCGCUAAGUAGUUUCUGUAAUAAAACCAUGUUCGCCGGAAGGCCAAAUUAAGGAAUAAAAAUGUCUAAUAAAAUGACUGGUUUAGUAAAAUGGUUUAAUGCUGAUAAGGGAUUCGGUUUUAUCUCUCCUGCUGAUGGUAGUAAAGAUGUGUUUGUACAUUUUUCUGCUAUCCAGAGCGAUAAUUUCCGCACCUUGUUCGAAGGUCAAAAAGUUUCAUUCUCCAUUGAGAAUGGUGCUAAGGGUCCGGUUGCUGGCAAUGUAGCGAUCACAGAGUAAAAUCCUUUUUGUCUGUAUGCGAUAACGAUG
rnacentral:sRNA from 1 species